AGAGUUUGAUCAUGGCUCAGAACGAACGCUGGCGGCGUGCCUGAGACAUGCAAGUCGUGGGAGAAAGUCGUAGCAAUACGGCUAGUACACCGGCGCACGGGCGAGUAACACGUGGACAACCUGCCUUAGAGUCUGGGAUAACCCGUCGAAAGACGAGCUAAUACCGGAUAAGACCACGGGAAGUUCGCUUCCUGAGGUAAAAGAUGGCCUCUGCUCCUGCAAGCUAUCACUUUGAGAGGGGUCCGCGUCCUAUCAGCUAGUUGGCGAGGUAAUGGCUCACCAAGGCUAAGACGGGUAGCUGGUCUGAGAGGAUGGUCAGCCACACUGGGACUGAGACACGGCCCAGAGUCCUACGGGAUGCAGCAGUCAGGAAUAUUGCGCAAUGGAGGAAACUCUGACGCAGCGACGCCGCGUGGGUGAUGAAGGCCUUCGGGUCGUAAAGCCCUGUCGGAGGGGAAGAAAAGUCUGUUGGCUAAUAUCCAGCGGACCUUUGACGGUACCCUCAAAGGAAGCACCGGCUAACUCCGUGCCAGCAGCCGCGGUAAGACGGAGGGUGCAAGCGUUGUUCGGAUUGACUGGGCGUAAAGGGCGUGUAGGCGGUUGGUUAAGUCGGGUGUGAAAGCCUGGGGCUCAGCCCCAGAAGUGCAUCCGAAACUAGCCAGCUAGAGCGCGAUAGAGGAGGGUGGAGUUNCUGGUGUAGCGGUGAAAUGCGUAGAUAUCAGGAGGAACACCGGCGGCGAA
rnacentral:rRNA from 1 species